GUGUAUGAAGAAGGCCUUCGGGUUGUAAAGUACUUUCAGCGGGGAGGAAGGCGAUGUGGUUAAUAACCGCGUCGAUUGACGUUACCCGCAGAAGAAGCACCGGCUAACUCCGUGCCAGCAGCCGCGGUAAUACG
rnacentral:rRNA from 1 species